ACGCUCGACACCUACGGGAGGCAGCAGUGGGGAAUAUUGCACAAUGGGGGAAACCCUGAUGCAGCGACGCCGCGUGAGCGAAGAAGUAUUUCGGUAUGUAAAGCUCUAUCAGCAGGGAAGAAAAUGACGGUACCUGACUAAGAAGCACCGGCUAAAUACGUGCCUGCAGCCGCGGUAAUCUGAGCGGGCUGGCAAGGC
rnacentral:rRNA from 1 species